GUGUGUGUGUGUGUGUGUGUGUGUGUGUGUGUGUUAGGCCUAUAUUACAGUUUGAAAAUGUAAACGAGCAAAAUGCCUUUUCGAUUACUAAAUCCGUAUCCAAAACUGAAUGUUCUGCUUGAUCCGCCUUGGUGGACAUCUGAUCAACCUGAGCCAUAUUGGUGGUCCCCUGCACCAUCAGCACAGCUGAAGUGGUCCUCAGUUCCAUCAGCUCCACCCUGGUGGUCUUCUGCUCCAUCAUGGGGAUCUUCAGUCGUGUCUGCUCUGCUGUGGUAGUCUUCUGCUUUGCCGGCUCUGUCCUGGUGGUCUUCGGCUCCAUCCUGGCUGUUUGGAAGCCACUCCUUCAGGGGAGGAGGAUGGGCUAUGUCACGAUCACCAGCUAGAAUGCUCUUGAAUGCACUCCAUACCAUACCUUUUCCACUCUUUCAAGGACUUCAUUCCCCAUAAUCCUCUGCCCAGUCUCAUCAGCGCUCAUUGUUUGCACCUGUGUCUCAUUAGCAUGGUUAGCUCAUCCUAUAUAACCAGGUUCUCACUGCCAUUCUUUGCUAAGUCUUGUAUGUUUUUUUACUGCAAUUAUAAGCCUUGUAUCCUGGUUCUCCCAUAUCUUGGUUCCUGGGGCCUCAUUUAUAACUGUUGCAUACGCACAAAACCAGCCCUGAAAGAUGUGUACAUCACUUCCUG
ensembl:lncRNA